UUACGACCAUACAACAUUGAAAAACCGGUUCUCGUACGAUCACCGGAGUUAAGCAAUGCCAAGUCUGGUCAGUAGAUGUGUGGGUGACCGCUUGGGAUUACCAGGUACU